AUUGAACGCUGGCGGCAGGCCUAACACAUGCAAGUCGAGCGGAUGAAGGGAGCUUGCUCCUGGAUUCAGCGGCGGACGGGUGAGUAAUGCCUAGGAAUCUGCCUGGUAGUGGGUGAUAACGUCCGGAAACGGGCGCUAAUACCGCAUACGUCCUGAGGGAGAAAGUGGGGGAUCUUCGGACCUCACGCUAUCAGAUGAGCCUAUGUCGGAUUAGCUAGUUGGUGGGGUAAAGGCCUACCAAGGCGACGAUCCGUAACUGGUCUGAGAGGAUGAUCAGUCACACUGGAACUGAGACACGGUCCAGACUCCUACGGGAGGCAGCAGUGGGGAAUAUUGGACAAUGGGCGAAAGCCUGAUCCAGCCAUGCCGCGUGUGUGAAGAAGGUCUUCGGAUUGUAAAGCACUUUAAGUUGGGAGGAAGGGCAGUAAGUUAAUACCUUGCUGUUUUGACGUUACCAAAAGAAUAAGCACCGGCUAACUUCGUG
rnacentral:rRNA from 1 species